ACUUGGGCUGGUAUGACUGAAUGUACUUGUGAACCAUUCGACCAGGGCUAACUUGCUUAAUUUGGGCCAACUGGACAGGGUAAAAAGAACUGGUCCAACAAAGAAAGCACUUGGACUGACAGCUAUUACCAUAGGUUGUAUAUAAGUAAAUGUAUCAGUAAUAAUAAGCCAUUAUCUAAAUGAGCAUACUUGAAUUUUAAUAGCCUGCCGACGCAUAUUGAGAAACUCUUUCCGGAUCUUCCAAGUACGGAAACCAUGUUGGAUUCGUGCAACAGCUGCCAUUCUCUUUCGCAUCUCAUAGUGCCGGAAGGCAUGCUGAAUCCUCAAAGC